ACAUGCCUACAACAUAGUGUUAAUGCACUGAAUCCCAUUAGAACUCUAUAGUUAAGUGUUCUUAGUCUAGAGUUGUACUGGGAUGAGUGACCUCCUGGGAAGUCAUAGUGUUUUACAUGCC
rnacentral:rRNA from 1 species